GCCGGGCUCAACUGACUGUGAGCGCCCGCCUCUGGAGGACAUGCGCCGGGGACUCGACACGUGAUCCGCUCGCCACAAUCCAGUAUGGCGGAAUCCGUCGGUGAGUGGAUCCGUGGUUGGCGCGCUCUCCAACGGGAAUAAAGUCCGGAGCGUUGCAUCCGAUCGCGGCGGAGCUGCGGAGAGUUCAGUCUUAUCGAGCAAAGAGGAACCGACACACAGAGCUGGAUUACGGCCAGAGGGGGCACUAUGAGCCUCUGAGAUUGUUCUUUCUUUCCUGUCCCGUGCCUCUUUUGACUCGUCUUCCCAUUCAGCAGUGGAUGGUGACCAGCCAACAAGCCCCAGAGGAGCCGUGAGGUGUUUCUCACAUCCUCAUCUGCCAGGACACACUCCUCUUAUUAUCAACCCAGUCACUUCAGAGAAAGCCGCCACUGUCGCCACAAUGAGUUCCCACAGCCGCCCAGGAAUAGCACGCGAUUGGGCUUCGGGGGUUGAGAAUUAGCCUUGAGAUGCCAGAAAAGGCUUUUGAGCAG
rnacentral:lncRNA from 1 species